rnacentral:lncRNA from 1 species
GCGUCAUUUAAUUUGAUCAGUCUGUCCAGUUGGCUGAUUUUCACGUAUGUUCAUCUACAAUGAUUUUCAAACAUUUGACCUUUUGCCUGUUAGGUCAUGUAUGCACAUUUGGAAUUCAUAAAUCGGAACAACGUAUCAUGCUCCAGAGGGAGGCUUAUGAAGAGAUCGUCGAAUCGACAGCUUACAUCGAUAAAACCCGGUUUAUUCGAGAUUUAUUUAACCUGCCGCAAUAUCUUGUGAUCAUAGGCCCUCAGGGUUUCUCCAAAACGACAAACCUGAACAUGCUGAAAUCAUUCUUUGAACACGAGCUGGAUAGAACCCAUACUGCAAAGGACCCAAAAACCUCAACAAAACUACAUACGUUCAAAGAUAAAAAAAUAUUCACCGAUGAGAAAUUUUUUUGGCAGCACUUCGCUAAGUACCCUGUCAUCCACUUAGACCAAAGCGCUGUAACGACGAAAAACUUCGACGAGUUUUUGAAAAGCUUCGUUAAGCAUUGCAUUGACCCUCUAACGGAGAAAUUCAGCUACUUAUGGAACAAUACCGACAUCAAAAUGAAUGAAAAAGCCAAAAAGGUUAUCCAUGGACUAAAGACGAACUCCAAGACUUCGGUGCAGAACUUGCAAGUCUUCUACACCAUCAUCACGGAACCAAACCUAUACUUUUGAUUGAUGAGUACGAUUCUCCUUCAGUCUCCGCCCUUCUGGACGCGGGUGUCUCUGAAAAAGACACCGAGGAUAUAGUAAAAUUUUUAGUACUUUUGUUGCCGAAAUGAUACAACAUAAUCACAACACUUUUCGUGCCGUUUUGACCGGGCGUUUGGCCCUGUCACUGAUCCCAAAACUGAAACAUUGUACAAUUUUCGAGUCCGAAAAAUUGUCCUCUGCGUACGGCUUUCUAGAGGCUGACCUCAAUGAACUUGAAAAGCGAUUUGCAAUGGCAUCUCCUGAUAUGGAGCAUACCAGAGCUUACUACAGAGGAUAUUGCGUGUACGAAAAACCUAAAGAACGAAUAUACAGUUCUCAGUCAAUCAUUUAUUCACUGCUCAGUAGAACAGUUACUGAAUAUUGGUCCGGGGAUCUCAUCGAUAAAUUAAGGCCUCUCCUCGGGGCUGAACAGUGGGGGCCAGCGCUGGAAAUGUGCAUCUUGAAACGGUGUAAGAUUACAGUGACAGGUCUCAUGAAAAAAACCGAUAUAAUGCAACUCAAAAAAUCUCUGCUUUUCUCUAAAAAAGCAGACCCUGGCGGACAAUUCUUGUUCCAGAUUUUGGUGGAAACCGGUUAUUUCACGGUGGAGGAAAAACAGGGGUAUUGCACACGAUCUCAGUGCCGAACGUUGAGGUGCAAACGGUAAUGAUGGACGAGUUCUACCGCGGUAACUAUUUGCACGAGCGGUAUGGAUUCACCGAAGAAGACGAAAAGCACUACUUGACGUCGCUCGAUAAGUUGAGCUCGAACGUAGCCACAUUGCAUACCCUCGUGCGGUCUGUCCAGACGCUGUUUCGGAAUUUGGCACCCAAAGAUGAGGUUUUCAUGCAGGUGGUAUUGCUCCACCCACUUUUGAACUGCUCGGAAUUCUCGACUUAUCCCUUUGAAAGGGACGAUAGUUCCAUCUCAAGUUAUGCUAUUUUCGCCAAACGGUGGCGCGAUCAUGCAGGGAUCCUUUUCGAAGCGAGGGCUGGACCCAAUCUUGAUCAAGAAACGAAAAGGGAUGUCUCAUAUGUAUUCGAACAAUUUCCUGACUUGAAGGAUACGGUUGAUUUACGUUUGGUUGUGAGCGGAAGAAACGAGGUCUAUGGUUUUUACACCUAUACAACUUUUGGCGGGAGCUCUGUAUGUGAACUUUGGCCACCACAGAAGAAAGUCACUUGAAGUGAUAGUGCUGUAUCCAGUUGAGGGCGUUGUGUCAAACUUGUGGGAAAGUUGGAGUUUAGUCUCUUAAGAUAAAAUGUAUCUUUAAAAGCAAUAUGACGCUUAAAAUAUGUUUUAAAAUAUAUCUAAAAACGAAAAAAAUGUUUCAGACACGUCUCUUUAAAACAGGGAAAAAAUUUAGGCAUCUAAAAAUGACUUCGAAACGCCUAACCUCAUAAGUUAUCGUGACCCUCAUGUGUUUUCAGAAUGUUUUGAAGUAAUUUUUUUAUGAUUUUAAAAACAUCUUCAAAAAAAUUGGACUUUCUUUUCUAUAUCAAAAUAAUUAUAAGGUAUUUUGUUAUGCUUGAAAAUUGUUAAAAAUGGGGGUUUCAAAAAACAUGUAUCUAAAAUUCACAAAAGGACUUCAAGAACUGAGAAUGCCUAAGAUGUUUCCUUAAAUUUCUUAAAACACGUUCCGAGUAUUUCUUCCAAAGUUUCUUAAAGAUAACAAAAACAGACUAUUUGAGACUAAUUGAGUAAAUGCUGCCUGAUUUUAUGCCAAAUAUCAUUAAAGAUGCCGCAAUUGACCACUAGACAAGGUACAAAUGUAAGCAAUCUGAUACAUGUUUCUUGAGCAGAAUUUUACGUAGAAUACGCUUCACACAACGAAAAUUACUGAAAAAAACUCCUAACGAAGAUAUUAACGUUUUUAUUUCACAUUGGUUACGAGGAAUUUGAACUGCCCGCUCUCAAGAAACUCAAAGCUCUACGUGAGUCAAAUCGCGCACUACAACGGUUUCAGCAAGCUUCUCAAUCGAGCAAUGUUCA